rnacentral:piRNA from 1 species
UGGAGUGCCUAUAUCUCAAACACCUACA